rnacentral:tRNA from 1 species
CCUUAGCUCAGUUGGUUAGAGCGGUGGACUCAUAAUCCAUUGGUCGCAGGUUCAAGUCCUGCAGGGCC